rnacentral:tRNA from 1 species
CGAGGUGUGGCUCAGUUUGGUAGAGCGCCACGUUCGGGACGUGGAGGUCGUGGGUUCGAAUCCCGUCACCUCGACCA